UACGUAGGGGGCAAGCGUUGUCCGGAAUCAUUGGGCGUAAAGAGCGUGUAGGCGGCCCGAUAAGUCCGCUGUGAAAUCCCCGGGCUUAACCUGGGAACUGCAUUUGUGACUGCAUGGCUGGAGUGCGGCAGAGGGGGAUGGAAUUCCGCGUGUAGCAGUGAAAUGCGUAGAUAUGCGGAGGAACACCGAUGGCGAAGGCAGCCUUCUGGGCCAACACUGACGCUCAUGCACGAAAGCGUGGGGAGCAAACAGG
rnacentral:rRNA from 1 species